UUUUCUCUCUCGUCUCACAAAGUUGAGUUCCCUAGAACCCGAUUGCUCAGAGAUGAACCCCAACUUUCCUCAAAUCUAUUUAUUUCCUCGAAUCUUUCCACAAAUCAAUACUAGAUUAAAGCAGAGACUUUAAGUAACUUAAAUCAGAUCUAUUUUGCGUAAAAAACCCCUAAAUCGAGCACAAAUUAAACGUAAUCUUAUUACAAGAAAAAUCAACACCCAUUUCACAGAUUUUGAGUAACCUAAUCUCAGAAGAAGAUUCAGUAGAAGAUUCAAGUACACCGUGAGAACUAGAAGAACCAGAUCUCUAAUUCAUUAAUUUCUCUCUUUUGGUUUCACAAGAACUUGAUUUCAAGGCUUAAUUGUUGUUUUUUAGGGAAAUCAUCAGGAGCUGAUAUAGUUCACAGUAUUAGUCCACCAUUAUAGUCCACCAAGGAGAGGCUGUGGUGGAGGUGGAAGGAAAGAGUCGAACAUGAAUUGCAGGCCUGAAGACCUUCAUAUUCCAUUUGAAAGAUCUGGACAAGUGAGGGAUGUAUAUUUGCCUAAAGAUUUUUACUCAGGGUGAGCUUUUCUUGGGUGAGUUUUCAGGUGUCAAAUAGUAUUUGAUCGCGCUCUGAUUGCGCCGGUGUUUGCUUUUGAUCAACUUGUUAAUUGUCAAGGUAUGCGAUAUUGAUAUAGAUGGUUAUGUAUCCUUGUGCGAGAUUGAUUUGUAUAUGUGCCUGACACUGAUGUUCUAGUGUCUUCUCUCAGUGGGUAGACUUUGUCUAGGAAAAUUUGUCCCUCGACCAUAUUAAGAUUUAAUCAUUGUCGGUUAUUAGGUUCUCUACAUGUAUCUGUUCUUGCUAGUUAUGUCGUUGAACUUGCGGUAUAUCAUUUAGCUAUGUCAAUAGAGUUGAAAUAAAUAGUCGAAGACAUUCUGCUUUUGCUGUACAAGGUCAACUGAAUUUGGGAAUUCUGGAGUUUACGGUUAAUAAUUACGGUAAUGUGCAUGAAGAUUAAUAUAGAAAUGUGUAAAGGAUAAUUAUUAACUGACGCACUACUCACAGAAUAAACAACAAGUACAAAGAAAUAUAUAUACUAAGUAAAGACAACAUUAACAACUUUGGUUUCUUAAAUUUCAGUUGCAGUGUUCCCUUAAGUUUGGAUAACCAGUUGAAUGCAUUGUAUUAAUUGUCUGAGCUGAAUCUAAAAUAUAAUUGUUUUUGUUGUGAAGGAAGUGUAGUGGUAUUCUUUGUUAUUGGCUUUGAUUUUUAACUUUGGUCUGUGUUCUCUGUUUAUUGUGUUAUGCAAAUGACUGGAGAUGGUGGAGGUGGUAAUUUGAAGUAGUAAGGAACAAGUAUUGGAGAUGGUGGUGAUGGUGACUUGUAGUUAAGUGAAGUGGGGGUACUGGAGAUGGUAAUGGUGGUGUUUUGUAAUAAUAUGGAUCAGGUUGUGGUGAUGAAUUGUAGCUGAGUAGUAUGGGGUGAUUAAUGGAGAUGGUGGUGGCAGUGAAUUUUAGUACCAUGGUGCUGGUGCUUUUUUUUUUUUUUUCCAUUUUGUUAACAGUCUCCUGACUUUGUUCCCUGAUACACAAACAUUGUUUUCAGUUCUCGCAAUUUUUCGUAGUUGUUAGUAACCUUCACGGUUUGAGUAUCCAAUGCUGGUUCUUAGAAUUUUAAAGUUAAAACGAUGUCACAUGUUAUUGUAUAGGAUGGGUAUUGGAGAUGGUGGUGGUGGUGGUGGCUUGAGGGUUACAAGAUGAAGGGUAGUGCAAGAUCCCAUGUAUGCUUCUUCUGUGGUUCAACUUCCCGAUCGAGAGAUGUUUCAAGUUAACCCCAAGGAGUUUCAUCUGCAGACACACAUCUACCAAGGAAGAAAUCGUUGUUGUUGGAGGUUAAGAGGUAUAUAGCCCUGUAGUUUGGAUAUGAAAAUCCCAAUGACUUCUCCAGCUGGUGAUUCAAAGUUGCACGCAGAGGGAUCAGUUAGAUCACAUCCUAGUAAUGAAGCGCUUGUAGAUGGAAAGUUCUUAGUGAAAUUACAAGAGCAAGAUAUCAAAGAGACCAUAAAGGCAGCAAAGAUUCAUGAUUUCUGCUAUGGAAUUCCUUUCGUUGUAGGUGCCUAGUAAUGAAGAGUUUGAAUGUGGAAAGUUAUGAAUUGAUAUGGAGUUACAAGGUAUGGAAGCUCAUUGCUUGUACUAUUUGUGAGAUAACAAGGAGAUCAAUCUAUGAUCAUUCUGGAUUUCCCAUUCUGCCAAUGUUCCAAACUAGACGAUUAUCAAGUCUUUGUCAUUUAAGUUUUCUGUUACUGAUUAUGUUCAACAUAUUUUAUUCCUGAUGAGUUUCAACAUCUUUUAUUCCUGAUGAGUCACUUGAGUCAUUUCUCUAGUAUUUUAGCCUUUUUUUUUAAUUUUUUCCUUGAAGACAUUAAAUGUAAGACUUCAUUUUUGUUGUUAGUGCUAAUAUUUGAUUGAGAAUGGAAA